rnacentral:rRNA from 1 species
UACGGAGGGAGCUAGCGUUGUUCGGAAUUACUGGGCGUAAAGCGCGCGUAGGCGGCUUUGUAAGUUAGAGGUGAAAGCCCGGGGCUCAACCCCGGAAUUGCCUUUAAGACUGCAUCGCUUGAACAUCGGAGAGGUAAGUGGAAUUCCGAGUGUAGAGGUGAAAUUCGUAGAUAUUCGGAAGAACACCAGUGGCGAAGGCGACUUACUGGACGAUUGUUGACGCUGAGGUGCGAAAGCGUGGGGAGCAAACAGG